rnacentral:rRNA from 1 species
GAUGAACGCUGGCGGCGUGCCUAAUACAUGCAAGUCGAGCGAACAGACGAGGAGCUUGCUCCUCUGACGUUAGCGGCGGACGGGUGAGUAACACGUGGAUAACCUACCUAUAAGACUGGGAUAACUUCGGGAAACCGGAGCUAAUACCGGAUAAUAUAUUGAACCGCAUGGUUCAAUAGUGAAAGACGGUUUUGCUGUCACUUAUAGAUGGAUCCGCGCCGCAUCAGCUAGUUGGUAAGGUAACGGCUUACCAAGGCAACGAUGCGUAGCCGACCUGAGAGCGUGAUCGGCCACACUGGAACUGAGACACGGUCCAGACUCCGACGGGAGGCAGCAGUAGGGAAUCUUCCGCGAUGGGCGAAAGCCUGACGGAGCAACGCCGCGUGAGGGAUGAAGGUCUUCGGAUCGUAAAACUCUGUUAUUAGGGAAGAACAAAUGUGUAAGUAACUAUGCACGUAUUGACGGUACCUAAUCAGAAAGCCACGGCUAACUACGUG